GACGAACGCUGGCGGCGUGCUUAACACAUGCAAGUCGAACGGAAAGGCCCUGCUUUUGUGGGGUGCUCGAGUGGCGAACGGGUGAGUAACAUGAGAUUACCCUGCCCUUGACUUUGGUAUAACUUCAGGAGACUGGGGCUAAUACCGAAUAGGAGCUCCGGCUGCUGGGUGGGGGUAGGAAAGUCUCGGCGGUUUGGGAUGGACUCCCGGCUGCUCGGCUGGUUGGUGGGGUAGUGGCAUACCAAGGAUUUGAAGGGUAGCCGGCCUGACAGGGUGACCGGCCACAUUGGGACUGAGAGACGGCCCAGACUCCUACGGGAGGCAGCAGUGGGGAAUAUUGCACAAUGGGCGGAAGCCUGAUGCAGGAACGCCGCGUGCGGGAUGACGGCCUUCGGGUUGUAAACCGCUUUCGCCUGUGACGAAGCGUUAGUGACGGUAAUGGGUGAAGAAGCACCGGCUAACUACGUG
rnacentral:rRNA from 1 species